GACGAACGCUGGCGGCGUGCCUAAUACAUGCAAGUCGAGCGAUGAUUAAAGAUAGCUUGCUAUUUUUAUGAAGAGCGGCGAACGGGUGAGUAACGCGUGGGAAAUCUGCAGAGUAGCGGGGGACAACGUUUGGAAACGAACGCUAAUACCGCAUAACAAUGAGAAUCGCAUGAUUCUUAUUUGAAAGAAGCAAUUGCUUCACUACUUGAUGAUCCCGCGUGGUAUUAGCUAGUUAGUAGUGUAAAGGACUACCAAGGCGAUGAUACAUAGCCGACCUGGGAGGGUGAUCGGCCAGACUUGGGCUAGGCCGCGGCGCAGAGUCCUACGGAAGGCAGCAGUACGGAAUCUUCGGCAAUGGAGGCAACCAUGACCGAGCAGCGCCGCGUGAGUGAAGAAGAUUUUCAGAUCGUAAAACGCUGUUGUUAGAGAAGAACGUUAAGUAGAAUAGAAAAUUACUUAAGUGACGGUAUCUAACCAGAAAGGGACGGCUAACUACGUGCCAGCAGCCGCCGCGG
rnacentral:rRNA from 1 species